UGGAGAAAAGCAGGGGAUCGUAAGACCUUGCGCUUUUGGAGCGGCCGAUGUCUGAUUAGCUAGUUGGUGGGGUAAUGGCCUACCAAAGCUUCGAUCAGUAGCUGGUCUGAGAGGACGGCCAGCCACACUGGGACUGAGACACGGCCCAGACUCCUACGGGAGGCAGCAGUGGGGAAUUUUGGACAAUGGGCGCAAGCCUGAUCCAGCCAUGCCGCGUGAGUGAAGAAGGCCUUCGGGUUGUAAAGCUCUUUCAGCCGGGAAGAAAAGGCUGCGAUUAAUAAUCGCAGUUCAUGACGGUACCGGAAGAAGAAGCACCGGCUAACUACGUGCCAGCAGCCGCGGUAAUACGUAGGGUGCAAGCGUUAAUCGGAAUUACUGGGCGUAAAGGGUGCGCAGGCGGCUUUGUAAGUCAGAUGUGA
rnacentral:rRNA from 1 species